ACGUCGGGACGAUCCGGGAAGUAGGUGAUGCGGCGGAAGCCUUCGGCUUCGCAC
rnacentral:sRNA from 1 species